AUGAUAUUCAUCACUGUGUGCCAGAUGGAUAAUAAACAGUGUUAAAAAGUAAACUAAGACACAAUAAAAUGUAAUUCUCUCUGCUCUGAAGAUAUGCCAAGACCAUAAGAAUCUAAAUGCCAUGGAACACCUGCAAACCAGGCAAGAAGGAAACAAAGAAUUCCAAAAGUCAGAAUUUUCUUCAUUCGCCUUUUUGCUGUGAAGUCUAUACGGAGUUUCGCUCUUGUUACCCAGGCUGGAGUGCAAUGGCAAUGGCGCGAUCUCGGCUCACCGCAACCUCUGCCUCCUGGGUUCAGGCAAUUCUCCUGCCUCAGCCUCCUGAGUAGCUGGGAUUACAGGCACACACCACCAUGCCCAGCUAAUUUUUUUGUGUUUUUAGUAGAGACGGGGUUUCACCAUGUUGACCAGGAUGGUCUCGAUCUCUUGACCUUGUGAUCCGCCCGCCUUGGCCUCCCAAAGUGCUGGGAUUACAGGCGUGAGCCACCGCGUCGGGCCCCUAAAUUUUUAUCAGUAGUGGGACAGUUAAAUUAUGGUACUAAACUCAAUGGAAUCCAAGGCAACCAUUAAAAUGAAAAAAUAUAUAUGAAUGAACAUGGAAAGAUAACUAUGAUAUAUAUAUGUGUAUAUAUAUAAUUUUUUAAAAAGCAACUUGCAAAAAAAUUUGCAAAGUAUGAUUCUAGUUUAUGUUUAAAUGGCAUAUGUUUUACAUAUAUGAAAGUAUAAACACACAUAUACAGGCACACACAUAUGUAUACCUUCUCUCAAGCAUGAUGGUUUACUUUCUGUUCCUCUUAUCUGCCAACACUAUUUGUAAGGGUCUUUGUGGUUGUUGCCUAAAGCAAAAGAUUUUUACUUCCCUUUUAUUGGUUAACUUCUGAUUUUCCGCCAGAUCUCAGCUCAUUGUUGAAAACAAUAGUACAGAAAUACCUUGCCUGAUACACCUAAUUAGCACCCAGUUCUCUUAUUACCAUUCCCUGUAUCAUGAGUAGCUCUCCUUUGUCACACUCAUCCCAAUCACAACUUUACAAUCACUCCCAUGACUCCUGGAGUGUAGUCAUCACUCUGCCUAGGGGAAUCUCUGGGAGGCUGCAGUGUGUGCUCAUGUUUCACCCUUUUAUCUUGAGAGCCUAGCUCAUGUCAAGCACUCUGUAGAAGCAAAAACUAUUAUUUGAAUAAAGCAUGAAGUAAUGAAUUCUCA
rnacentral:lncRNA from 13 species